ensembl:snRNA U1 U1 spliceosomal RNA
UUACUUACCUGGCAGGGUUGAUACCAUGAUCACAAAGGUGGUUCCCCCAGGGCGAGGCUCUGCCAUUCCACAGGAGUGGAGCUCACCCUUGCGAAUUCCCCAAAUGCGGGAAUCUCAGCUGAGUAAUUUCUGGUAGUGGGCGACUGCGUUCGUGCUCUCCGG